rnacentral:lncRNA from 1 species
GCGAUAUCGGAAUAUUAUAGCCUCAUUUUAACUUGUAAUCUCAUCAUUCUUAUCGGUCAAAAUAGCCAUACAAAGACAACUUCCUUGGCAAGGGCAUAUACCAGUACGGCAGAGGUUUUGCUCAAAGAGGACACAAGAUCUACUAUAUACAGAUUGAAUUAAAAAUUGGAAAUGGACAUGAGGGAUUUGUCAAAGAGACACCAACC